rnacentral:rRNA from 1 species
AGCUCCAAUAGCGUAUAUUAAAGUUGCUGCAGUUAAAAAGCUCGUAGUUGCAUUUCCGAGGCAAGGGAUUAGUCCGACCUUUGGUGGGUAUUUAAUCCUCUUGCCUCGUCCUUGAGUGGUGCUUCUUGGUAUUAAGUUAUCGAGGAGAUAGCCGCACAACGUUUACUGUGAGAAAAUUAGAGUGUUCAAAGCAGGCUUAUGCCGUUGAAUAUAUUAGCAUGGAAUAAUAAGAUAGGACCUCGGUACUAUUUUGUUGGUUUGAGAACCAAGGUAAUGAUGAAUAGGGACAGUUGGGGGUAUUCGUAUUCAGUUGUCAGAGGUGAAAUUCUUAGAUUUACGGAAGACGAACUACUGCAAAAGCAUUUACCAAGGAUGUUUUCA